GUUCUGUUGGUGGUACGUCAGGAAAUGGGCUGUUUCUAGUGAGUGAGCCAUCUGGAUUCUCCACAAAAUCGCAGAGAUCUGUUAACUUGACAGAGGAAGCUAACAUGGUUGAGACAAGGUAGUAAAUUCUAAGGGAGAUGAAGAACAGUAUGCAAGAGGAGGAAUUACUAGAAGGAAGGGAAGUGAAUGGAUGGUAGUCAAUGUUGAAAUUUUUAUGGGACCAUCCACUUGUUGGUGUAUAUGAGAGUUGUCUUUUAUUUCAUUGCAUUUAUCUUUGUAAAAUUCCGCUGCGCCACUACAGUCAAACUUGUAUUAAUAUCUCAAAAUUAUCUGUAGAUAAACUCAAAUUUAAUAACUUCCUAUAAAACCCAAAAUCUCUCCCAUAAAAAUAUAGGUUUACGCUAGGCAUACUGUCCAGCACCCUAGAUGCUAGGCGUGCAAUUCAAUACCCUUCCUAUAUUUUUUGGGCUCAAGCUCCGUGUCUCAGCCAUAAAUCCCAGCAGCGUACUUGAAUCUAAUAUUUUCCAUCCAUGACGGGUUCAGGGAAUUCACCUAAACCCAACAUUUUCUUCAGAAAUUUGGUAAUUUUUCAGUAUCCCACGCAAGUUCUUCGGUAAUUUUUUCAAUUAUUAACUAUCAGUCAUCUUGUUUUACCGAAUCAACUACUAAUUAUCAAUCUUCUUAGUUAGAAAAAAUAUAUCAAACUAUUUUACACAUCAUCGUUAACAAAAACUCAUUCAAGACAAAAAGACGAUGGAGAAACAUUGAUGUAUUGGCUGAUAAACGGUCCCAAGAAAGACUAUUUUUGGCUAGGAGAUAAAUGACGAGUGGAUCUGCCUUGAUGGAGUGUUUUUGUCACUACUUUAUAGACAAAACUUCCAGCCUGCAAGGCUGAAGAUAUUGGAUGAUAUCUCCAAGUGGAUUUUUUUUUUUUUUUUUUGUAUUUACGUUCAUGCAAAAUCUCAUCUCUUAUCUCCAAGUGGAUAUUGUCAUUUUCUAGUUGAUAAUAACACUCCAUUCAUUAGAAGUUUAAACGAUUUCUCUUCCUUUACCUUUAGUUAACAAGGGAAAAGAUUGGGGCUGCAAUUCGUCUAAAAAAAUCAAAUAAAUGAUUAAAGAAGAUGAUGAAAAAAAUGAUUUUCUAUUUUUGAGAAACAAUUUAAUGAAAUUACUGAAUGACAUGCAAAACUGUCAACCCCCCACACGCGCGCGCACUAACUCAUUAGUAAAUAUUAUAGAUUAUUAUUAAAGAGGUAAUAUUUUUAUCAUUUCUCUUUAAAUCUUCUUAACAACCAGAUUAUUAUUUUUUAAAAUAAAUACAUUAUUCAUGACAAUUUAUUUGCUUAUGGCACCGGUAUGUAUAGAGAUCCUUUUAAUCAAUGUCCCGGUUUUUCUACUUGAGCUCCGAUGAUGGCAUCGCUUAAGGAGGAUUGAAGCUUACAAGCACACUUAUGGUUCUGACAAAAACAAGUACUACACAAACAUUUCUUGCCUAUACACCAACAUCUUUGGCCUGCACAGUCUGCAUUUUUAUUGCAAUGCAAUGUAAUCACGGUGCUUCUUGCUUCUCCUACAUGUGAACCUGACAAACACAAGUCCACAAUAUUUUAUUUUUUUAAUUAUGAAAGGUAUAGAAUAAUAUUUGUUUGUGUGAAUAUUAGAAUGAAAUAUAAGAGAGAGAGAGACUAACAAGAAGCGAUGAUUAAAAGUGCAAAGACCAAGAAAGUUAGCUUGAAUGAAGACUUCUCCAUCUCUCUUUCUUUGCUAUGAAAAUACCUUAGAGAUAUGUAAAUGCCAAUUACUUGUUUUUUUUUUAUAUGCAAUGAAUUAAUAAGGAUAGGCUGUUAUGGGGCUAAUAAUGGAAAGGUAUAUCUUAGUGAAUUACAUACCUUUUUUUCUAUAUCAUAUUAUCUAUAAAUUAUAAUAAUGUAAAUAUUAAGAAGGGAAAAGAGACGCCUACCUAUUUAUUCAUGGAUUUAUGUUGCAUUCUAAAUAGUUACGUGUUUGGACAAAACUUGCCAACAAGAUAAGAUUUCAAAUUUGAAUCAUAUCCAGGCCAGUAUGGAUCAGAUCCAAUAUUUGGGUUAUUUUUUAUGCAUGAAUUGUUCAGACUAAGAGAAUUCACCAUUUUAAUGUGUUUCUUAAUUAUAUACAUUGUUUUUUAUAUAUAUUUAAAUUCUUGAAUUAAUUAAGAAUAUUUUUAAAUAUUAUUUUAUUGAAUUUCAUUUGAUUUUUAUUUUUUCCUUGAAUAAGAUAAUAUAAAUCGUUUUUUUAUAUAAUAUUAGCAAGUGUUCUUUUUAUAUAACCUAUUAUAAAAAAAAUUUCAAAUUUUAAUAAGUUGAUUUAACAUGAACAAUAAUUUUUGUUAUCACUAGCUCAUUUGUCCGUGCUAUACUACGGGCUGAACCAUGUUUUUAAAAACAUAAAAAAAAAAGUUAUUAAGAGCACUGAGAUUUUUUUCAUCAAGUGAUAAAUCUUGUGUUAAAAAAAAACAUGUGGAUAGCUUAUCAAUCAUUUCCUUAGCCAAGAAUCUUAUGUUUCAUGAUAAAAAUAAGCGUGUUGACACAAGAUUUCAUUACGUAUGAAAUUGCAUUCCAAACUAGUCAAAGUCACGUAUGUGAAGACCCAAGACCAAGUCGCAGAUAUUUUCACUAAGCCACUUAAACAUGAUGUUUUUGCCAAGAUGAGAGAUAUGCUGAGAGUUAUAGGAAAUCAAUUUUAAGGGGGGAUGUUGAAAAUAAAAUUUUUUUUUUUUUUUUUAAAACAGAGGAACUGGUCAACCAAUCAAAUUAAAUAAACCACUUUACCAAUUGAGAAUCGGAUGACCGAUUAAGUUGGUAGAAUUACUUUUCCUAUCCAAAUAGGAUUUCCUUUGCUUAGUAUAAUUCAUUGAUUAUCUAGGACUUUAGACCUAUAAAUAAGCUUAUAAUCAGAAGCAUAAAACAUAAGUAUAAUAGAAAUAAAAUGUGUAUAUAAAAGAAAAUAUGUAAUGAAGCACUCUUUCUUUUUAAAUUUUCUUCUUAUUAUUUAGCUUUGCUAUUUUGCAUUAUUUUUCAUAAGCUUCUGCUACACUAAUUUUUCUUCUAACAUUGUGGUGGUGUAUGCAGGUAGGGAUUUGUUAUUGUGAAACUACUAUGAAUGGAUGGAGUAGGGAGGUUGUGUUGCUACGCUUGUUUGCUUUUGCAUGGGAUUGUGGGGAAAUGGCCAUCUUUGAUGUCGUUGGGAUAAGAAAGGGGGAGGUUGUUGAUGGAAAUUAAGGUGUGCUAGUCAUGGUGGAAGAUUGUGUCUUGCUUGGUGGUAAAGAAGGGAAGAAACACCAAUAGUGGUGUCAAGCCUACUGUUGUUGGUGUUUUGCUGUUGCAAUAGAGAGCUGUUGCCGGGUAGGUGCUUAGCGGUGGAUGUAUUGGGUGAUGGUGGUUGGUGCCACGGGUUAUGAGGGAGAUAAGAUCAUAAGGGAUAGGUGAGAGCUGACGGGUUUUCUUUUCUAUCUUUAUUAGUUCAUUUUGUGUUUUUUUUUUAUGGAUGCUAUUUUGAGAAAGAAGGUGAUGAGAGAGGGCUGGUUGGUGCACUGUCUCUUUUUAUUUCUUUCUCGAGGGAGAGCCAAUAAAGGAGAAAGAAAUUAAAGUAAGUGUUGUCAGUUUUCGAAAAUGGUUACUAAGUGCCGCACAUGUGCGGCAUCGCGACGAAUCGUCCACUCUCAGGUAUUUAUCUAUCUGGAAAAUAUGGAGAGACAAGCAAUUAUCAAUAGAAAACGGAAAUGGGAGUCACCACCUAGUAUUUUGGUCACUAGGAACCCUAACUGGUCUUAAAGAUCGGGUACGGAAACUGGUUGUGUAAAGGAAAGGUAUUAGCACCCCAAAUACGCCCUACCUAAGGUAAGCUGCAUUGUUUGAUUGUCUGAUAAAAAACCAAGGUAUUAUUAUUUUCUAAUUGGUGGUCUGUUUAAGGUUCAAGAAAAGUCCUCCUUGAUAAGGAAGUCCCUAUCUUAUAAGAUAAAACCUAAUCAUUUCGAUGUCGGCUGUCGCGGGGCGACGGCGGAGGCUUUCGUCGUGCCUCCUGAUGAGGGGUGUUGUGUGUUGAGAAGGUUUUUGGAUUUAAUCAUAAAAUUAUUAUUAAUGUUUAGGAGUCGCCACCUAGUAUUAUGGUCACUAAGAACCUAUGAUCUGCGAGAUUUUGAGUAAGGGACUGGUUGUGUAAGGGAAAGACGCAUCACCCCCAGUGCACCCUACCUAAGGUAAGCUGCAUUGUUGUUUAAUUGUUUUUUUCUAAAUCGGGUUUUUAUUUGUUGGUCUUUUCUAAAGCUUAAGGCAGAUCUCUCUUCAUGAGAGAGUCUCUACCUUAUUGGGUUAAAUCCUAACCAUUCUAGAGUCUGAAUUUUAGCAUCACAUUUCUACACCUUGUAUCUUUAAUACCUGAGGGUGUACUUUAUCGUGUAAUUUUACACCCCACAAAUAUUAAAGUCUACAUCUGGACCCUAAAAAAAGAUUGGAAAAUGAUUUUUGACAUGUUGGUCAAAUCCUAAUGUAUAAUUAUACACUGGUAACGAUAUCAAUUUUUGGAUUUUGUAAACAUGAAAAAAAAUGCAAUUAUAGUUUUUUUUUAUGAAAAAUAUUCUUGGAAAAAUUUUAGGAUUUGGCCGUAUGCAACAAAAUAUUUUUUUUUGUUUUUGAAAGUGUUUUGAAAUUUUUAUUUUUUUUGAAAUAUUUUAGAGAAAAUCGGGUAUUUUAAUACUGAAUUUGUAUUUUACAGUGUAAAUAUACAACUCAAUAUUAUAAAAAAUUGUUAGAAAAAUAUUCUUAAAAAUCACAAUUUUUUUAAAGGAUUUUUUAUUUUUAUUUUUUUGUCCACUGGAACAGUGGAACUCUUAUGGGGAAGACGAAGAACCAGGGGAAGGGUAGUAGACCACCUGGCGUGGCGGUGAUGGUUGGCGGGGGAGGAUGACCUGAAGCCGGCGGUGGAGUUGGUUGGAGCGGCUAGAGCUGGAAGAGGAAGAAAAGGAGGAAAUCUGCAGAGGGGAGAGAGACGUUCACAAUGGCUUAUUACAGACGUAGUGGUGGCUGGCUGGUGGUCUUGGCAACACGUGGUGGUGCUGGUUGCUCAAGGCGGAGCUGGAGGAAGAAAGAAGAAGAAGUAGAAGAAGAAAAUCUACAGCGGGGAAAAGGAGGAAAGGAAGGAGAGGAGAGAGACGCGGUGUCUGUUGGUGCAGGAGAAAGGUUUCUGUGGUGGUGCUGAUGGUGGGAAGACCGGUGAUGGUGGUGGUUGUGGCCAAAGGCCACAGUGGAGAGAGAAAGAAGAGAGAGGACUGUGCAGAAAAAAACCGGGGACGAGGCUGGUUUUUUUUUAUUUUUGGACCCGAAUUUCCCCUCCCUCAGGCCAUCAAAUCCACCUAUAUUUAUAGGCAGUGGAAGAGGACAAUAUUUUCUACACUGGAGAAAAAUUGCAGCCCUUGAUUCAGAUGGGAAGGAUCCCAACUGUUGGCUCAAAGUAGAUAUGGUGCACUGUCAAAUUGUCAAAUCUGCAGUUGUAGGCUACCUGAGUUGGCCUUUUUGGGGUGGUGCUACGUCUGUUUAUUUGCCAUUUAGCCGGUGAAGACCAUACCCGGACGUAGAUGGAUGUCUGGUGAUCAGUUUCGUUCAAGUUUUGGCAAAUUAAUUUGGUGGAUGUUAGGGACAUUAAAUGCAGCUGCAAAGUAGGUAACCGGACCAGCUAUUUCAGAGAAUUAAAGAAGAAGAUAAACAGUACCAGAAUUAUGUUAUUAGCCAAAGUUCAUUUCAGUCCUUUCUCUUUUAAUUGCUUUCAAUUGAACCCCUAAUUAAAAACGACCUACAUAUAAUCAAGACAAACAGUACUGAUCAAACCAGACACCUUACUGCCGGUUGAUGUACGUAGCCAACACUAUGAUCAUUAAACAGUUGUGUAAACAAAUUCUUUACCAUAGUCAUAGAAAGCCUUGGCUUUUGCAGGAUCAAAAACCUCCACACCAUGGAAGCCAUCCUCAUCAAACCUCGCAACCACGUCCACUCCACGCGACUCUAACAUCUUCACCAGUUCCUUUUGCUUGUCAACAAGUGGAUCCCCACCGUAUCCUCUGAAGAAACACCUCGGCAGCCGUUCGAUUUUGUUCUUUUCAAGAGACCCGCCAACAAUGGGAUUGCAAUACUCAUCAUCACGAUCGGUAUCUUCAGGCAAAGACAGAGCCCACAUCCUAUCACUAGUAGCCAAUGGCAAAACCGGAUCAUUGAUCAACCUCUUCUCUGAUUCAGUCCUGGUGACAGCAGAAAAAUAGGGGACAUUCAAUAUCAAACCAAUGAUUUUCAAGGGUUUGAUAUCAAUAUUCAAGGCAAGCAAGUUUGCAUGGUAAGCAAUAUUGCCACCAGCACUCAUGCCCAUCAAGAAACACCUUGAAAAAUCAAGGUAUUCUUUAAACCAAGGUUCACAAGAAGGGCCGUUGAUAUCCAAAACUUGGUUUUGGACCCACUUGAUAGACUCCAUAGCAUCUUCAUACGCAGCGGGAAGGCGAUGUUCAGGGGCAAGACGAUAGUCAACAGACAGGACGAGAGCGGGGAAGUGAGAAGCCAUGUCACUGCAUGUUUGAUGGAAAGCAAGAGUUGCAGCGCUGUAAAGAACAAAGCCACCUCCAUGAAAGUAAAUAAUGAGAGGGAGUGCGGUGUUUUGAGGGGGAUUUAGGGGGCGAAACAAACGAAGAAAUGUUUUGUUGUUGGGGUUUAGAGGGAUGUCUUUCGAGAGAGAAAGUUCUUUGGAACCUGGAGUUUUUUGUUCUGUUGGUGGUACGUCAGGAAAUGCGCUGUUUCUAGUGAGUGAGCCAUCUGGAUUCUCCAUAAAAUCGCAGAGAUCUGUUAACUUGACAGAGGAAGCUAACAUGGUUGAGACAAGGUAGUAAAUUCUAAGGGAGAUGAAGAACAGUAUGCAAGAGGAGGAAUGAAUAGAAGGAAGGGAAGUGAAUGGAUGCUAGUCAAUGUUGAAAUUUUUAU
rnacentral:lncRNA from 1 species